AAGUGAUACACUCAUCAUCUUGGAGUUCAUUGCGAGAGGCCUAUGUCCAGCUGCAGUGGACGAAUAUAGUCUGAUAUGAUUAUGAGGAUGACGAUCUA